rnacentral:rRNA from 1 species
GUGGGGAAUAUUGGACAAUGGGCGAAAGCCUGAUCCAGCCAUGCCGCGUGUGUGAAGAAGGUCUUCGGAUUGUAAAGCACUUUAAGUUGGGAGGUAGGGCAGUAAGUUAAUACCUUGCUGUUUUGACGUUACCGACAGAAUAAGCACCGGCUAACUACGUGCCAGCAGCCGCGGUAAUACGUAGGGUGCAAGCGUUAAUCGGAAUUACUGGGCGUAAAGCGCGCGUAGGUGGUUUUGUAAGUUGGAGGUGAAAUCCCCGGGCUCAACCUGGGAACUGCCUCCAAAACUGCAUGACUAGAGUACGGUAGAGGGUAGUGGAAUUUCCUGUGUAGCGGUGAAAUGCGUAGAUAUAGGAAGGAACACCAGUGGCGAAGGCGACUACCUGGACUGAUACUGACACUGAGGUGCGAAAGCGUGGGGAGCAAACAGGAUUAGAAACCCGUGUAGUCC